UUGUGCCCUGUCAGAGGUUUUUAAACUUCUGCUGAUUUUUAAGUUAAAUAAAGUGUACAUACAAAAGAGCAUACACAAUGUGUACACACGUAAUGUAAUGAAGACAAAGACAACCGCCACCUGUGUACCAUCCUCUCGGAUUAAGGAGCAUCAAGAGCCGUGGUUUCUCCAGUGCGCCCUCCGUCUGCCCCCUGCACCCAGAGGCCCAGCACUGGCCCUGACUGUGCGGACACUUCCAGAGGAACACCAUUACUCAGCGGUUCCCAGUUUCAACACUAUAAAGGUGGCCGACAGCAGCAGGUGGGACCUGACUCUUGAAGCAGGGAAGUUCUCCGCCAGAAGGAAGAAUCUAUGGAAGAUACCAGGCACAUUCCCAAGAGAGCAGACGUUGUGGCCAGUGGAGUGAAAGUGGGCUGCAUAUGAGUUAAAACUGUUGAUACUCUGAACACCCUGAGUAGGUAUUUCUGCCAGAUGGUGUCUUAACAAAACUCUUAAAUGAAACACUGAAUGAAGUGGAGAAAUGGGCCCUGUUUAAUAGAGGUUCAUUGCUGACGGUUAACUCCGUGACUACAUUAUAGCAGUGGAGCUGUUGUCUAAAAGUGAAAAUGAAAGAAAAGAAAGACACAUAAGCUCAGAGCAGGAUGCAGCCAGAUGAUCAGAGUUCAUCCAUCCACCUUCUUCACCGAGAAGAAUGCAGAACAAUGGUAACUGUAAGUGGUGAUGGUGGAUGUAAUUUUUCUGUUCCUGACUCUGUGUGGAUAAAAUGAGAGUUCCUGUGGCCAGGAUUCUCACCUGGUCUUGGUUGACUAGCUCACUGCACACCUGUGGGCAAUACAUGGCUGUUGACUCUAUAAAAAGAGCUCCGCCCAGUGCUCUGGGCACGACACGGUGGCAAGGCUGCAAGGCUGCAGGAGAGCAGAGCAGAGGCUGGAGUGGUGGCAGUGCCAAGGACAGAGGCCCAGAGGAUGGCUAUGCGGAAUGACUGUGCAGACAGAGGAGCCCAGAGGCAGAGACCGGCUUGCUGCAUACACCUCGCUCUGAGUGAAUUGGAUUCUAGUGACUGACCUGCCACCUGAAAAUAAAGUUGGGUAUAACCCUUUCACCC